UGCAGGAGAACAGUAAUUUUUCCAAAACAAAAUUGUAUUAGUUUGAGCUAUGGAAGGUGGCUGCUUUUGACACCAUGAGGAUUCAGUAAGGAAUCAUUUUUCGAGAGGGUGUGCCCAGCAACUUGCAACAAGCACAGAGGUGAUUUCAUUAGCAGGUCGUUUCAUGGCUGGGAGACACAGAAGUGGUUUCAGGAUGUGAUCUUCAUGAAUGACAGAUGCAUUGAGAGGACUUUCCUCUGAAGGCAGUACUGAUGGUCGCUGUUCUCACGCUGAUCCUAGAAGUGAGGAGGUACAGUCCUGCCCUGAGUCAUCCAGACUCAUGGCCAGUUAUAACUACACUGAGGAGCUGCAUCUAGUUGGAUUUACUUCUCCUUAUAUGUAUGCUAAAGCAGUCAUUUUAACAUUUUCAGGAUGAAACUUGAUAAGUUUGGUCUAGCCAAGGUAAAAAUUCUCGAUCAUGACGUUGGAAAGAAGUUUGCAAAAAUAAGGAGAACAUGUCU